rnacentral:rRNA from 1 species
GAUCAUAAUGCANACGUAUGUCGAGAAGGUAGUAGCUGGCCUCCAGGGGCAUGUGCACGCCCCGAUCGCAUCCACCUCCCACACCUGUGCACCGCCUGUAGCUUGGGAUGAUCACGGGGCCCUGACGGGUCACGAAUGCCCUCGUCUAUGAAUGCUUUUACACACCACAAAGUACGACAGAAUGCAUAUCGAAUUGCGUCUGAUAAACGCGACAAAUACAACUUUCAACAACGGAUCUCUUGGCUCUCGCAUCGAUGAAGAACGCAGCGAAAUGCGAUAAGUAAUGUGAAUUGCAGAAUUCAGUGAAUCAUCGAAUCUUUGAACGCACCUUGCGCUCCUUGGUAUUCCGAGGAGCAUGCCUGUUUGAGUGUCAUGAAAUUCUCAACUGCCCCGAGCCCUUGCGGCCUGCGGGUGAAGUUGGACUUGGAGGUCUUUGCUGGCGUGCGUGCGGCGGCUUCGUGCCGUCGCCGUGCUUGUCGGCUCCUCUUGAAUGCAUGAGCUUUCCAAUCCUUUGGCAAAGUAUCGUCGAUGUGAUAAUUAUCUACGUCGCCCGAGAAAGCCUACAAGGGGAAAUCUUCGAUCACGUCGGGGUGAAACCCGCGUCUGACAAAUUCGACCUCAAAUCAGGUAGGACUACCCGCUGAACUUAAGCAUAUCAAUAAGCGGAGGAAAAGAAACUAACAAGGAUUCCCCUAGUAACUGCGAGUGAAGCGGGAAAAGCUCAAAUUUAAAAUCUGGCGGCCUCCGGUCGUCCGAGUUGUAGUCUGGAGAAGCGUUUUCCGUGCUGGACCGUGUACAAGUCCCUUGGAACAGGGCGUCAUAGAGGGUGAGAAUCCCGUCUUUGACACGGACUACCAGUGCUCUGUGAUGCGCUCUCAAAGAGUCGAGUUGUUUGGGAAUGCAGCUCAAAAUGGGUGGUAAAUUCCAUCUAAAGCUAAAUAUAGGCGAGAGACCGAUAGCGAACAAGUACCGUGAGGGAAAGAUGAAAAGCACUUUGGAAAGAGAGUUAAACAGUACGUGAAAUUGUUGAAAGGGAAACGCUUGAAGUCAGUCGCGUCUGCCGGGACUCAGCCUCGCUUCUGCUUGGUGCAUUUUCCGGUUGACGGGCCAGCAUCGAUUUUGACCGUUGGAAAAAGGUGGAGGGAAUGUGGCACCUUCGGGUGUGUUAUAGCCCCCCAUCGUAUGCAACGGUUGGGAUCGAGGACCGCAGCACGCCUUUAUGGCCGGGGUUCGCCCACGUUCGUGCUUAGGAUGCUGGCGUAAUGGCUUUAAGCGACCCGUCUUGAAACACGGACCAAGGAGUCUAACAUGCCUGCGAGUGUUUGGGUGGAAAACCCGAGCGCGUAAUGAAAGUGAUAGUUGAGACCUCUGUCAUGGAGGGCAUCGACGCCCGGACUUGAUCUACGGAGACGGUUCCGCGGUAGAGCAUGUAUGUUGGGACCCGAAAGAUGGUGAACUAUGCCUGAAUAGGGUGAAGCCAGAGGAAACUCUGGUGGAGGCUCGUAGCGAUUCUGACGUGCAAAUCGAUCGUCAAAUUUGGGUAUAGGGGCGAAAGACUAAUCGAACCAUCUAGUAGCUGGUUCCUGCCGAAGUUUCCCUCAGGAUAGCAGAAACUCGUAUCAGAUUUAUGUGGUAAAGCGAAUGAUUAGAGGCCUUGGGGUUGAAACAACCUUAACCUAUUCUCAAACUUUAAAUAUGUAAGAACAAGCCGUCACUUGAUUGGACCGCUUGGCGAUUGAGAGUUUCUAGUGGGCCAUUUUUGGUAAGCAGAACUGGCGAUGCGGGAUGAACCGAACGCGAGGUUAAUGUGCCGGAAUACACGCUCAUCAGACACCACAAAAGGUGUUAGUUCAUCUAGACAGCAGGACGGUGGCCAUGGAAGUCGGAACCCGCUAUGGAGUGUGUAACGACUCACCUGCCGAGUGAACUAGCCUGAACAUGAUGGCGCUCAGCGUGUACCAUACCUCGCCGUAGCGUGAGUACGCGUGACAGUAGAGCG